rnacentral:tRNA from 1 species
UGGCUCAGUGGUAGAGUACUUGCCUUGCAUGCAUGAGGUCCUGGGUUCGAUUCCUCAG